CUGUGGUGAAUCUUGUGCGAAGCAGUCAGUGCGUGCGGCAGAGAAAAAAGCUUGAAUAUCGAUAUUUUUACACGAGUAUUGCUCAAUACCAAUACCAGCGUUGGUAUCGAUAUUAUCGAUAUUUGGAUCGAUCCGCCCACCUCUAGCAUGCGGUGUUGUGAUGAGGGUGGUCAGGUAAAGAAGCUGCUAGAAUAAAAGGGCGUUUUCAUACCAACGCUAUUUUGUCCGGUUAAAUCGGGCUCUGGUUUGUUUGUACCCUAAAUAUACUCAUUUUAUUUGAGCUAAACUGCUGAUGAGGCGCAGUUUAGUCUGAUAUAUUAGCCAGAUAACACUAAUUACCCCAGCUAUGAACAAACGCGGUCCCUGUCCAUGCUGUUUUUUUUUUUAUGUGCGGUCUGUGCGUUCACUACUCACAAUGGCGCUACUCAUCACGCCCUGCUCACACCUGCUGGAGGACAAUUAUCCAGACACUGAGUUUAACAACAGACAAGCCUUCAAAUAAAGAGGUCGCCUGCUAUUGGAACAGCCGUUCAAAGAGCCUCUCCUCUGCCCUCACUGAAAGUUACUUUAUGAGCUAAAGAGAGCUUUGUUACUCCUCAACAUCAAUUACUGUAAUGAGGUUCCAUUCAAGCACCACUAGUCUCUCACUGUUCUGAAGAAGUUCACACCUGUCGUACUUUGAUGGAUGCUCCUCUCUCCGGGUUUACCCCUUCCUCAUCCCACAUUCUACAAUCAACCAACCGCAGCCCUGGAAUGGCAAGCGUGCAUAUAGAAAAGCAUGUUUGCAAGCAGGAAGUAAGCCAUAUAAGCCCUGCCCUUUUGGCUCUAUGCCAAACAUUGACAAUUGAGAGUGUUUGAUGUUCGCCGCUGCUUCUUUGUGUUGGCAAAGUCGUGGAGGCGCAGUCAGACAGGAGGGUGGGAGGGAGAGAGGGAUGGG